rnacentral:rRNA from 1 species
AAAUUCUCAACCUCCCCUUCUUUCAUUAGGAGUGCGGCGGAUUGGAUAUGGGGGUUUGCUGGUUUCUAACGAGAUCAGCUCCUCUGAAAUGCAUUAGCAGAAACCGUUUGACUUUGGCUGCUAGGCUGUGAUAAUAUCUACGCCUUGGUAGUUGGGUCGGAAUACGAGAGUCAUACAGUGGUAACUAAUCAGGCUUUCGAGUCUGGCUUAGGAUCGGUUUGGAAGGUGCUUAACGGCUCCUUCUGCUUUCUCCCUUUGCGGAGAUACUUGUCCGAUUCUAAGAGAGGAGUUGCUUAGCGCGAGCUUAGCUUUCCUUGAUUUUUCCCCUUGACUUUGUAGAAGGAUUCAGCUUCUUAACCGUCCAUUGACUUGGACAAUUUAUUGACUAUUU